rnacentral:rRNA from 1 species
CCUACGGGAGGCAGCAGUGAGGAAUAUUGGUCAAUGGGCGUAAGCCUGAACCAGCCAAGUCGCGUGAGGGAUGAAGGUCCUAUGGGUCGUAAACCUCUUUUAUAGGGGAGUAAAGUGUGGGACGUGUCCUGUUUUGUAUGUACCUUAUGAAUAAGGAUCGGUUAACUCCGUGCCGGCAGCGGCGGUAAUACGGAGGAUCCGAGCGUUAUCCGGAUUUAUUGGGUUUAAAGGGUGCGUAGGCGGCCUUUUAAGUCAGCGGUGAAAGUCGGGGGCUCAACCACGGAAUUGCCGUUGAAACUGGGAGGCUUGAGUGUGUGUGAGGCAGGCGGAAUGCGUGGUGUAGCGGUGAAAUGCUUAGAUAUCACGCAGAACCCCGAUUGCGAAGGCAGCCUGCCAGGCCAUGACUGACGCUGAGGCACGAAAGCGUGGGGAUCAAACAGGAUUAGAUACCCCAGUAGUC